rnacentral:rRNA from 1 species
CCUACGGGUGGCAGCAGUGAGGAAUAUUGGUCAAUGGCCUUACGCCUGAACCAGCCAAGUCGCGUGAGGGAAGACUGCCCUAUGGGUUGUAAACCUCUUUUGUCAGGGAGCAACGCCGGCUACGUGUAGCCCGACUGAGGGUCCCUGAAGAAAAAGCAUCGGCUAACUCCGUGCCAGCAGCCGCGGUAAUACGGAGGAUGCGAGCGUUAUCCGGAUUUAUUGGGUUUAAAGGGUGCGUAGGCGGAAUGCCAAGUCAGCGGUAAAAUCGCGGGGCUAAACCUCGCGCCGCCGUUGAAACUGGCGUUCUGGAGUGGGCGAGAAGUAGGCGGAAUGCGUGGUGUAGCGGUGAAAUGCAUAGAUAUCACGCAGAACUCCGAUUGCGAAGGAAGCAUACCGGCGCCCAACUGACGCUGAAGCACGAAAGCGUGGGUAUCGAACAGGAUUAGAUACCCGUGUAGUC